rnacentral:rRNA from 1 species
GAUGAACGCUGGCGGCGUGCCUAAUACAUGCAAGUCGAGCGAACAGACGAGGAGCUUGCUCCUCUGACGUUAGCGGCGGACGGGUGAGUAACACGUGGAUAACCUACCUAUAAGACUGGGAUAACUUCGGGAAACCGGAGCUAAUACCGGAUAAUAUAUUGAACCGCAUGGUUCAAUAGUGAAAGACGGUUUUGCUGUCACUUAUAGAUGGAUCCGCGCCGCAUUAGCUAGUUGGUAAGGUAACGGCUUACCAAGGCAACGAUGCGUAGCCGACCUGAGAGGGUGAUCGGCCACACUGGAACUGAGACACGGUCCAGACUCCUACGGGAGGCAGCAGUAGGGAAUCUUCCGCAAUGAGCGAAAGCCGGACGGAGCAACGCCGCGUGAGUGAUGAAGGUCUUCGGAUCGUAAAACUCUGUUAUUAGGGAAGAACAAAUGUGUAAGUAACUAUGCACGUCUUGACGGUACCUAAUCAGAAAGCCACGGCUAACUACGUG